UACAUCCAUCUCCCAUCUUAUCCGAGAAAGCAUCAACAAACAUAGAGAGAAAACUUGAGGAGGGUGAAAAAGAAAUUUGUGGUGAAGAAGGUUGUGAGGAUGUGGUGGAGCAAACUGAAAGUGAGUUUAUGAAGUAUAGAGCUAGAAAGAAGGACACGUACACCCAAAUGGAAUUGGAUGAGGUGCGAGAAGAAUUGGCAAGUCAUGUACUAGAAUGGCUUUUGAUUAAGCUAAACAUUCCUUCAUUUUACAUGUCUUUAUAGCUAGUAUUUUGCUUAUGCAUAGACAAGUAUGGAUAAUUUGUGGUGUAGGGCUGGUAAAUUUGUGAUUUGGAUGUGACAAGUAUGGAUCAUUCAAGUAUUUUGCUUAUAUAUAUAGACAAUUAUU